rnacentral:rRNA from 1 species
GCAUCGAUGAAGAACGCAGCGAAUUGCGACAAGUAAUGUGAAUUGCAUAUACCGUGAAUCAUCAAAUCUUUGCAUGCACCUUGCACUAUUGUGAAUUCACGAUAGUACGUCUAUUUGAGUAUCAAUUAACCCAAUCAUCAUUAUUUGAUGUUAAUGAGGGAAUGUCGGACACUCCGAUAUCUCUUCAAGUUGAUGUUCAGCACUACUGUUGUUCAUGUCAAAUCAAUCUCAACCAUUGUUGAUGAUGUGUCUGCAAUAGUGUACUUAGCACUUUCAAAACCAUUGAUCUCAAAUUAGAUGAGGAUACCCGCUGAACUUAAGCAUAUCAAUAAGCGGAGGA